rnacentral:lncRNA from 7 species
AAGGUGAAUGGAGAGCAGGAGGAGGCAGACAAGGCAAGAAGGACUGUAGAAGUUGAAGGAGAAAUUAAAGAAGAUGUGAAACCAACAAAACAAGGAAAGAGGAAGGAUAAAGUGAUAGAGAAGCAGUGAAUAGCAAGGAAGAGAAUCGAGCCGAAGAACUAGAAAGAUUAUUUCAAAUGGUUGAAGAGAGGCAUGAGAAGGAAGUGGGAAGUUCAAAACAAACAAGAUACAGAAUGUGGGGGUGAGCACUGAAACUCCUGCCGUAGGAUGCUGAGGAUUUCACAGGUGUGCCAGUUAUUGCCUUCAAAAUGACUGGCAAACUUUGAUUUAACCUGAUUAAUGUUUUUCUUUGGUGAAAUAUGGAAAAUUAACAUAUACUCCAUAUUAAAUUUUCGAAAGUACUGCUAUGGUGCACAAAUGCUUUGCAAAAUGUCACCUAUGCUUAAGCUUUCGUGCUACAGGGUCCCAUUCUCCCAGCUGGCAUCUGAGCAAGGGCAAAGUGCUUGCCUCUGAUCCACAUCGUGCGUUGCUUCAUGGCUCUGUGCCGCGCAUUCAGGUGGAGCUGCUGUCAUUGAUGUCCAUGCAAGGAGUAAGGGUAGACUACGCAACAGGGAGACUCUUUGCCCUACAACUGAAGUCCCCUUCAAGAAGUGCCUUCUGGUACCAUCCGACACUCACUCUGUGACUACCCAGCGAAUAGCCCGGAGCCAGAGAGGUGAUCUAGCUGGUGGCUGUGGACUUGAUGAUGGCUCAACAUUUCACUAAAAACCUCUAAGCACAGUGAAUCAGGAGAGGUUUGGGCUGGAUUCAGCACAGUUGAUUUAAGAUAUCAUUUAUGUCCUUGUCAGCUCUUGUCUCAGUAUGUCCUGGAGGAUGACAAGGGUCUUCUGCUGACAAGUCCCUUCUGAGUGUUGUCUGAUAUUAUGGCAGAAGGAGAGAUAAUCUGUUACACAGUGGUUAGAAAGCAGAGAGAAGCAGGAUGCUGUGUUCAAGCAUCUGGUUUGAAGCAAUCAGAUGUUUACCACCUACCAGCUGCUGUAGGAGAGGGAAACUCCUACUGCUUUGCUGCCCACCAAAGUUGGACCUCUGAAACACCAAAGCCUCCUUAUUCUGCUUUCUGCCAGCUUUCUGUACUACAUUAAUUUGAUCCUCAUUUUUGUUCUUUUUAAUCAUCUCACAAAGAAGAAAAAUUGAAGAGAUUUUGUGAUGGCUACACUCCAUCUCCAGACACUAAGAAGAUUACUCCUCUGGCUUUUAAAUCUCUUUAUUUCAAAAGCUCGUCUGUUAACUACCUAUAUCUCAAUAAUCUUAUCAAAAGGCAAUUGUUCAGGAAUGCUUUAGAAGGCAUUAAUUCAGAAUUAGGUAACUAUAGAGAACAUUUCAAACUCACAAGUAUAUAAUGACUUUAAUUUUUUUUAUAAAAAAUUAGUCUUAGU